AGCUUCUUCAAGAUGCUGGGCUAUGGAUAUCCCAAAGGAUUAAGGAUCAUUUUGCCAAGCACACCACAAUGAGCAUAAACCUCAAAUAUAUAGGUCCAACCUCCAUGAUCCGAGCAAUUCCGAACAAUGCUUCUGAUAACGUGUACUUCACACUUCUUGCUCAAAGUGUAG